GACGAACGCUGGCGGCGUGCCUAAUACAUGCAAGUUGAGCGCUGAAGCUUGGUACUUGUACCGACUGGAUGAGCAGCGAACGGGUGAGUAACGCGUGGGGAAUCUGCCUUUGAGCGGGGGACAACAUUUGGAAACGAAUGCUAAUACCGCAUAAAAACUUUAAACACAAGUUUUAAGUUUGAAAGAUGCAAUUGCAUCACUCAAAGAUUAUCCCGCGUUGUCUUAGCUAAUUGGUGAGGUAAAGGCUCAACAAGGCGAUGAUACAUAGCCGGCCUGAGAGGGUGAUCGGCCAAAUUGGGACUGAGACACCGCCCAAACUCCUACGGGAGGCAGCAGUAGGGAAUCUUCCGCAAUGGACGAAAGUCUGACCGAGCAACGCCGCGUGAGUGAAGAAGGUUUUCGGAUCGUAAAACUCUGUUGGUAGAGAAGAACGUUAGUGAGAAUGGAAAGCGCAUCAAGUGACGGUAACUACCCAGAAAGGGACGGCUAACUACGUG
rnacentral:rRNA from 1 species